GUCUCUUUUCCCCUCCCCUCCCUUGAUAGCACGCCCUCCUCUGUCCUCUCGCAUCUUGGCUCCCCAUUGUUCGAUCCGAAUAUCCGAUCUCCUACCAUGACACAGCACGGGGACGAGCAGUACCAGUCGGGUCGUUGCCCCGAGCGGCCGCCAUGGACCGCCUCCCGUUGGCCGUUCCCCAUACAAGGAGAACCUCGAGCCGGAGAUGAAGAUUGAGGAGGGAGGAAGAGAAGGAUAUGGAGGUGGCCAGGGGGAGACGAGGUCGAGGGGGAUAGCAGCACGACCACGACGUGCACAGCGGUAAUGGGGAGGCCCUCCCGGUGGAUGCUGCAGCGGUCGUACCGCUCGACCCGGGGCACUUCCUCCCUCCCCAUGGGAAGGUCGCCGUGGGUGUUCCCUUCCUUUAGAUCCCGGUCGGAGGAGUGGGGCUGAUGCGUGAUAGGGAGGAGCACCGGGAUGUAGGUGGUCCUGGCCGCGCCAGCCACGCUGUUGCCCUGAGCCGGCCGCCGCCAUGCAUCCCAUCGUGUUGGUGGUGUCCGAUACAGGGCCAACGAACGCGUUCAAGGAAGAUCUCGAACUGCAGAUGCAGAUGGAAGAGGAGGAGGUGGAGGAGGGGCCGAGGGAUAAGAAGAGAAGGAUAUGGACCUGAUCCUUCCUGCUUCUUUCUUUCUUUUUUUUUCCCUUCAAACCUGCAGCAAGCGGUUCCAGUGUGAGCCUAUGUCCCUGUAACUCUCUCUCACCUUGAUGCGAGAUCGGGCUAGGUGAGCUUCUGGUUGUUGAUGAUUCUACUGGUAUUGAUUUUCUUCUUCUCUUAAUUAUUCUAUACUUUUGAGACCGUGAAGCGCCGCCGCCGCCAUCUAAUGCAGCCCUCUGUGGCUGGGAGUUCACGCCACUGCUUUUCGAGGGCUAAGUUAUGCCUCGCGCUGGGAACCGCCUCCGCCGGUUCGUCGGGAUUGGCGCGUCUUAGGCGCUGCCGCCGUCCGCGCCGAACACGUCUCUACCCACCAGGCCGCCGCCCACAUCCACACAGUGCAGAUUUCCGGUCUUGGUGAUGCAAAUGCAGAAUGGGGGCUUCACAGUUCCUACCUCCGCACCAGCCCUGGCAACGACAAGGUCAUGCAAAUGCAGAAUGGGGGCUUCUUCAAGAUGCUGUCAAGUUAUUUUGUCUUGGCUGUGACUUAUUCUUUCCUUUUGGCUAUUUGUGCAUUGUUUUUAUCUUUCCUGAUUUGUUUUCUUCUUGCAGGAUCUGAUGCAAAUCGUAUUGUUGGCAUGGGCUGGCCAUUCUAGAUGGAUGGGUAUGGUUUUCCUGUUAACCUCCCACCUGUGGAGGACGAUUCUUGGGCUGGUGUGUGUAUGGGUGGCUCUGAAACUACUCUAUUCAAAUAUCAGUGAAUUGUGCAGCAAAACUAUGAAAAUGAUGUUUUCCCUAUGAAAAUGGAUAUUUGGUGAUGCCAUAGCCUCCAUCUCAUAACUAAUGCUAUAGGGAUGGAGUUAGUGAAAUAGAGUUCACUAAGGGCAUAAACAAUCAAGCUUGAAUAGAUCAUUGAGGCAGCGUAUUUGUUUGAUUUCAACAAGUGCUAUUACAAAUCUAACAGAUGUACCUACACAAUAAGUUUCCACCAUUGUGGACACUAUUAUUUCAUCUAUUUUUAAUCUAUGCAAGAAUGUAAAUUCUCCCACCAGAAAUGGGAGCCUAA